UUAAGCGACUAAGCGUACACGGUGGAUGCCCUGGCAGUCAGAGGCGAUGAAGGACGUGCUAAUCUGCGAAAAGCGUCGGUAAGGUGAUAUGAACCGUUAUAACCGGCGAUGUCCGAAUGGGGAAACCCAGUGCAAUUCGUUGCACUAUCGUUAACUGAAUACAUAGGUUAACGAGGCGAACCGGGGGAACUGAAACAUCUAAGUACCCCGAGGAAAAGAAAUCAACCGAGAUUCCCCCAGUAGCGGCGAGCGAACGGGGAGCAGCCCAGAGUCUGAAUCAGCUUGUGUGUUAGUGGAACGGUCUGGAAAGUCCGACGGUACAGGGUGAUAGUCCCGUACACCAAAAUGCACAGGUUGUGAACUCGAAGAGUAGGGCGGGACACGUGGUAUCCUGUCUGAAUAUGGGGGGACCAUCCUCCAAGGCUAAAUACUCCUGACUGACCGAUAGUGAACCAGUACCGUGAGGGAAAGGCGAAAAGAACCCCGGCGAGGGGAGUGAAAAAGAACCUGAAACCGUGUACGUACAAGCAGUGGGAGCACCUUCGGGUGUGACUGCGUACCUUUUGUAUAAUGGGUCAGCGACUUAUAUUCUGUAGCAAGGUUAACCGUAUAGGGGAGCCGCAGGGAAACCGAGUCUUAACUGGGCGUUAAGUUGCAGGGUAUAGACCCGAAACCCGGUGAUCUAGCCAUGGGCAGGUUGAAGGUUGGGUAACACUAACUGGAGGACCGAACCGACUAAUGUUGAAAAAUUAGCGGAUGACUUGUGGCUGGGGGUGAAAGGCCAAUCAAACCGGGAGAUAGCUGGUUCUCCCCGAAAGCUAUUUAGGUAGCGCCUCGUGAACUCAUCUUCGGGGGUAGAGCACUGUUUCGGCUAGGGGGUCAUCCCGACUUACCAACCCGAUGCAAACUACGAAUACCGAAGAAUGUUAUCACGGGAGACACACGGCGGGUGCUAACGUCCGUCGUGAAGAGGGAAACAACCCAGACCGCCAGCUAAGGUCCCAAAGUCAUGGUUAAGUGGGAAACGAUGUGGGAAGGCACAGACAGCCAGGAUGUUGGCUUAGAAGCAGCCAUCAUUUAAAGAAAGCGUAAUAGCUCACUGGUCGAGUCGGCCUGCGCGGAAGAUGUAACGGGGCUAAACCAUGCACCGAAGCUGCGGCAGCGACACUAUGUGUUGUUGGGUAGGGGAGCGUUCUGUAAGCCUGCGAAGGUGACCUGUGAGGGUUGCUGGAGGUAUCAGAAGUGCGAAUGCUGACAUAAGUAACGAUAAAGCGGGUGAAAAGCCCGCUCGCCGGAAGACCAAGGGUUCCUGUCCAACGUUAAUCGGGGCAGGGUGAGUCGACCCCUAAGGCGAGGCCGAAAGGCGUAGUCGAUGGGAAACAGGUUAAUAUUCCUGUACUUGGUGUUACUGCGAAGGGGGGACGGAGAAGGCUAUGUUAGCCGGGCGACGGUUGUCCCGGUUUAAGCAUGUAGGCUGGUUAUCCAGGCAAAUCCGGAUAAUCAAGGCUGAGGUGUGAUGACGAGGUACUACGGUGCUGAAGUAACAAAUGCCCUGCUUCCAGGAAAAGCCUCUAAGCAUCAGGUAACAUCAAAUCGUACCCCAAACCGACACAGGUGGUCAGGUAGAGAAUACCAAGGCGCUUGAGAGAACUCGGGUGAAGGAACUAGGCAAAAUGGUGCCGUAACUUCGGGAGAAGGCACGCUGGUGUGUAGGUGAAGUCCCUGCGGAUGGAGCUGAGACCAGUCGAAGAUACCAGCUGGCUGCAACUGUUUAUUAAAAACACAGCACUGUGCAAACACGAAAGUGGACGUAUACGGUGUGACGCCUGCCCGGUGCCGGAAGGUUAAUUGAUGGGGUUAUCCGUAAGGAGAAGCUCUUGAUCGAAGCCCCGGUAAACGGCGGCCGUAACUAUAACGGUCCUAAGGUAGCGAAAUUCCUUGUCGGGUAAGUUCCGACCUGCACGAAUGGCGUAAUGAUGGCCAGGCUGUCUCCACCCGAGACUCAGUGAAAUUGAACUCGCUGUGAAGAUGCAGUGUACCCGCGGCAAGACGGAAAGACCCCGUGAACCUUUACUAUAGCUUGACACUGAACAUUGAGCCUUGAUGUGUAGGAUAGGUGGGAGGCUUUGAAGCGUGGACGCCAGUCUGCGUGGAGCCAACCUUGAAAUACCACCCUUUAAUGUUUGAUGUUCUAACGUGGGCCCCUAAUCGGGGUUGCGGACAGUGUCUGGUGGGUAGUUUGACUGGGGCGGUCUCCUCCCAAAGCGUAACGGAGGAGCACGAAGGUUAGCUAAUCCUGGUCGGACAUCAGGAGGUUAGUGCAAUGGCAUAAGCUAGCUUGACUGCGAGCGUGACGGCGCGAGCAGGUGCGAAAGCAGGUCAUAGUGAUCCGGUGGUUCUGAAUGGAAGGGCCAUCGCUCAACGGAUAAAAGGUACUCCGGGGAUAACAGGCUGAUACCGCCCAAGAGUUCAUAUCGACGGCGGUGUUUGGCACCUCGAUGUCGGCUCAUCACAUCCUGGGGCUGAAGUAGGUCCCAAGGGUAUGGCUGUUCGCCAUUUAAAGUGGUACGCGAGCUGGGUUUAGAACGUCGUGAGACAGUUCGGUCCCUAUCUGCCGUGGGCGCUGGAGAAUUGAGGGGGGCUGCUCCUAGUACGAGAGGACCGGAGUGGACGCAUCACUGGUGUUCGGGUUGUCAUGCCAAUGGCACUGCCCGGUAGCUAAAUGCGGAAGAGAUAAGUGCUGAAAGCAUCUAAGCACGAAACUUGCCCCGAGAUGAGUUCUCCCUGAGACUUUAAGUCUCCUGAAGGAACGUUGAAGACGACGACGUUGAUAGGCCGAGUGUGUAAGCGCAGCGAUGCGUUGAGCUAACCGGUACUAAUGAACCGUGAGGCUUAACCU
rnacentral:rRNA from 2 species